CCUACGGGGGGCUGCAGUGGGGAAUUUUGCGCAAUGGGCGAAAGCCUGACGCAGCAACGCCGCGUGGGUGAUGAAGGUCUUCGGAUCGUAAAACCCUGUCGUCGGGGACGAAGGUUGUAUGCCUAACAGGUGUGCAAUUUGACGGUACCCGGAGAGGAAGCCCCGGCUAACUCUGUGCCAGCAGCCGCGGUAAUACAGCGGGGGCAAGCGUUAUUCGGAGUGAUUGGGGGUGAAGGGCGCGUAGGCGGGUGUAAGCCCCGGGCUCAACUUGGGAACUGCAUCUGAGACUGGAAGGCUAGAGUACGGGAGAGGGUGGUAGAAGUCCACGUGUAGCGGUGAAAUGCGUAGAGAUGUGGAGGAAUACCAGUGGCGAAGGCGGCCACCUGGACAGUAACUGACGCUGAGGCGCGAAAGUGUGGGUAGCAAACAGGAUUAGAUACCCGAGUAGUC
rnacentral:rRNA from 1 species